rnacentral:lncRNA from 1 species
UCGAAGUGAAACUGGGCCAUGUAGGAAUAAUCUAUUGAUUCCUUGAAAGGAAACUAAAGUGUAAGCCUUGGAGUAAAACGAAAAGGAGUGUAAAGCAACACAAAUAACAACAAUUUGCAAAUCAUAGUGAUAAGAAUGACAUCCGAAUCUCUUUGCUUUAUCGAAAUAAAAGAAGUGAAACAGUCAUCACAGCAUGCUUCCCCAAACAUGUGGAUGAGUGGAUCACACAAUCUAAUACCAAAAUAUAAUUCGAAAAGACAUGAGUCUCUAAAUAGCACAACCAUGCAAUACUGACAGUGAUUUCUAAAACAAAGCAGCUCACUUAAGGAAUCUCAAACUGUUUUCCACCAUUAAAUUGAAAACAUUUAACUAGGAGAUGUCUAAUCACUCCACAUUUAACUAGAUUCAAUUAACUGUUUCCGAGGGUCUAUCGGAAACAGCCUCUCUACCUCUCCGGGUAGGGGUAAGGUCUGCGUACACACUACCUUCCCCAAACCCCACCUAUGGAUUAUACUGGGUAUGUUGUUGUUGUUAUGUCUAAUCACUAGUUAGUAGUUACCCAUUAGAAGAAAGCUACAAUCUUACUAGAGCUAAAAUAUACCUAGCAAAACUGUCUUGAUCAGGUCUAUUUUUCAUUCAAAACAGAGAAAUACAUUGUCAUCUUCAUUUUUAAGAACUUGAUCAAGAUUGUUCUAAACCAGGAAAAACGCUGUAACCAAGCUCGAAUAAGCCAUACCAUCAUUUCAUUUUUUUUCCUUUUACAUCAAACAACAUUCUCUAAUUAUGUUCUUCAAAUUACGGACAAAAGGUGACUAACAAAGCAAAUAGAAUUUAAACUAAAUUACAGUUGGUUCUAUUUCCUUCUAAGUUCAGGAUGUUCCCUUGAAACAAAAGACAUUAGUAACGAGUCAUACUCACACUAGAAGAAAAUCAGUAUGAGUUACGCCGUUUGGUGGUGGAUUCUCUCUCUCGGAGAGAUGCAUUCUUGCGCUACUCAAUUUCCGUUAGCUUUAACUACCUCCACUUGGGUAAAAUGUACUUUUUCCGAAUUAAAUAUUGGUAUUAGAUUGUGUGUUCCACCUGUUUGGGGAAGAAAGCUGUGAUGACUGUUUCGAUAAGGUGAAGAGAUCCGGAUGUCAUUUCCUAUCACAUUUGGAUGCAAUCUCCUAUGGUUUCUUCGCCAACAAAUAAGAGUGCAAAAAUCACAAAUUGAGAUUUCCUCAAUGUUUAAAUCUCAAAAUAUAGUAAUCAUCCCCCUUCAAGUUUUAUGGAUUUUUAAAUAAAUGAGGCAGCACGCUGCUUACAAAAUUUAAUGACACAACUGUAAUUAGCUCGUUUAUUAAUUGCUAAAAUCCAAUCUACUAGGCGUAAUAAUUCACAACUUCAGUUAAAUAUAUAGGCAACCUGUACAAGUCAG